rnacentral:rRNA from 1 species
UACAGAGGUCUCAAGCGUUAAUCGGAUUCAUUGGGCGUAAAGGGUGUGUAGGUGGCGCCGUAAGUCGGGUGUGAAAUUUCGGAGCUUAACUCCGAAACUGCAUUCGAUACUGCGGUGCUUGAGGACUGGAGAGGAGACUGGAAUUCAUGGUGUAGCAGUGAAAUGCGUAGAGAUCAUGAGGAAGACCAGUGGCGAAGGCGGGUCUCUGGACAGUUCCUGACACUGAGACACGAAGGCCAGGGGAGCAAACGGG